GCUAAAUAGGGGCAAGCGGCACGGGAAAUAGUGAGGGGGCCAGAGUUAAUCGGAGGUACUGGUGGUAAAGCGUGGUUAGAUGGCUGAUUAAGUCAAAAGGGAAAUGCCCGAGCUUAACUUGGGAAGUGCAUUAGAUACUGGUUAGCUAGAGUAUAGGAGAGGAUGGUAGAAUUCCAGGUGUAGCGGUGAAAUGCGUAGAGAUCUGGAGGAAUACCGAUGGCGAAGGCAGCCAUCUGGCCUAAUACUGACACUGAGGUGCGAAAGCAUGGGGAGCAAACAGGAUUAGAUACCCUGGUAGUC
rnacentral:rRNA from 1 species